GUAAAGAGCUCGUAGGUGGUCUGUCGCGUCUGCUGUGGAAACGCAACGCUCAACGUUGCGCGUGCAGUGGGUACGGGCGGACUGGAGUGCAGUAGGGGAGUCUGGAAUUCCUGGUGUAGCGGUGAAAUGCGCAGAUAUCAGGAGGAACACCGGUGGCGAAGGCGGGACUCUGGGCUGUUACUGACGCUGAGGAGCGGAAGCAUGGGGAGCGAACAGGAUUAGAUACCCUGGUAGUCCAUGCCGUAAACGUUGGGCACUAAGUGUGGGGUCCAUUCCACGGAUUCCGUGCCGGAGCUAACGCAUUAAGUGCCCCGCCUGGGGAGUACGGCCGCAAGGCUAAAACUCAAAGGAAUUGACGGGGGCCCGCACAAGCGGCGGAGCAUGCGGAUUAAUCCGAUGCAACGCGAAGAACCUUACCAAGGCUUGACAUACACCGGACCGGGCUGGAGACAGUCCUUCCCUUCGGGGCUGGUGUACAGGUGGUGCAUGGUUGUCGUCAGCUCGUGUCGUGAGAUGUUGGGUUAAGUCCCGCAACGAGCGCAACCCUCGUUCCAUGUUGCCAGCACGUGAUGGUGGGGACUCAUGGGAGACUGCCGGGGUCAACUCGGAGGAAGGUGGGGAUGACGUCAAAUCAUCAUGCCCUUUAUGUCUUGGGCUUCACGCAUGCUACAAUGGCCGGUACAGAGGGUGGCGAUACCGUGAGGUGGAGCGAAUCCCAGAAAGCCGGUCUCAGUUCGGAUCGUAGUCUGCAACUCGACUACGUGAAGUCGGAGUCGCUAGUAAUC
rnacentral:rRNA from 1 species